ensembl:lncRNA
UGCAAAUGAAAGGAUAAAAAAACUUUUUAAAUACAACUAUGUGAAGGACUGACCCAAAAAAAUCAAGGUUAACAUAUCAAUAUCUUAAGAAAAAAACACAUUGCUCAGCAUUUCCCCUUGUGAACCUUCACUGGGGUGAGUCAUGAUGCAGAGCCCUUCAUAAGGUCCCGUAUGAUCUUGGCACAUGCAGGAGGAACACAGAAAUGCCUACACACAAGAUGGAGAGCCAAGUAUCCCUGGUUUUGUCUCACCUAACACAUGAUUUACUCUAUGACUAAAUAAAUGAAUGAAAGAAUAACAAGGAAUAAGACUAGAUUAUCUCAAAUUUAUCAGCUAUAAUUGCUUAAAUUUUAUUUAUUCAUGUGGUAUUCUCUCUCACCUGAUUACAUUCCACUUUGUAUCAACCUCUCCCAAAUGAAUUGAAAUAAAUUAUCCCACCAUUCCAUGAUUGUAAUAAUGCUAAGAAUGAUUCAAGUUAGAUCCAAAGGCUUUCCUAUGUGCUGAAAUAAAUUAUGUUAGCUUCUACAGCAGAAAUAACUCUCAAUUAGCUCCCUUUGAAUAACAUGUAUUAAAAUUGCUAGAAGGCAGAACUGGGGCCUUCUACUCAUCUGUAUACCCAAAGGAACAAGAUAAGAAAUUUGGACAUGGAGUCUUAGUGGUUGCCUGGAGGAACAGGAUUAGGGAACCCUAGUGCAAUCCCUCUCCUUGAACAUCCUAAGGCUUCAGAAAGGAGAGGGAAUAUUGCUCUGCCUGGCAGGAAGUGAUCCUGCACAGAUGCAGAGAUGGGUGAGGUGAUCCCCGCCCCAAGUUUCUGUGUUGCCAAAAGUGUCUUAAAAACAGAUUGGUCUACUUUUAUGUGUCCAGGGGUAUCAAGAUGACUCAGCUCUAGAAACAGCAGAAUGAGUAGGAAUUGAGUCAUUGCUCAAUGACUAAGCCACAUUGUUACCUGCAGAGCAAGGGGAACAGCUCUGCUCCUCUGCUGAAGAAUGGGAGGGAUGAGCAAAGAUAUCAGCACACUGAUGGAAGGGCAGCUGGAACCUGCAGUACAACCUUGCAGAGUUCAACCCUACAGGAAGACAGGGAGCUCAACUUGGGAAAUCUGCCUGCAUCUUGCAGGUCUGCUACUGGCUUGCUGAGACUCAUUGACUUAUAUCUGCACAGUGCUGCCCACAUUGUCUAUUGUGACAACAGAGACAUACCCUGGAGGCCCUUCAUUUUCAUUUUUAUUUUUUAUAGUUUGUUUGUUUUUUCUCCUCUUAUCUUUAAUUUUUUUGCUACUCUUUGCAAAUUUUUGUUUUUCUCUCCUUUUUUCUUCUUUCUUUUCUCUUUCCUUUCUCCCUCUCUUACACUCACUGUCUUGCUGUCCCACAUUGUUCAUCUCCCUUUUUGUUCCUGUUCUGGCCCUCAUUCAGAUUUCUUCUUUAUUUUUCUAUUAUUCUCUUUUUCCUUCUCUUGCCUGUGUCCUCUGGCCUUACUGCUAACCUUCCCCUAUCCUUCUACCUAUCUAUCCCUCCCUCCCCAACUCCUUCUAAUUCCCCAGCCUAAAGGGUAAAGUUGUUAUAUUGAAGAGUUUAUUCACUAUAAACAUAUGUUGGGUUGGUCCUCAAUUUUGAUUUAAUUCACACAGGUAAAGGUGAUGGAUUAAUAACUACCACAAAAUGUCAUUCUCUAAGAUGUACUUAAUGCUAUGGUGUUGCUGAUUGUAUCACUUG